CAGGAAGCAUAAAGUAUCAGCAGAAGGAAAGGAUUUCUCAACCAUUUGUCAAGAAUGCUGAACUAAGCAAGGUGUUUGUCAUAGUGGCCUAAAUGGUUUUGCCAACUCUGAGCAUGUUCGGCUGAAGUGGUCAUUCAGCUGGGAGGCUCCAGUGUCCAUUCACUGUCUUAAAGCUAGCUUUUCAGAGCCCAGUGAGGCCAUCUUCCCUUGCCUGAAUGCCUUUUUUGUUACAAAACAGUGAACUGUUUCUGAAACCCUGCAUAAAGGAGGAACGAGUGUUCAAAGGACAGAAAGCAGAAGGCAGAGUAAAAUCAUGCAACAGGUAUAGCAAGGAAGGAAGGAAGGAAGGAAG